AAGACUCAAUAUUUAUGCCAGAUAAUACGAACAAUAGUUUAAAAUUCAAAGAAAUUGGCGGUAUUUCAUAUAAUCAGGGGAACCUGCUUCUUAAUUCGAUACUCCACGAAAUCUAAACCUAAUUUUGCAAUUCCAGCCUGUGUACUGCUGUCGUCAGUCAACCUCUAAAAGAAAGUUGACAUAAAAUACAUUACUGGUAUUAAUGUCAAGUCAAAGUGCAGCCGAUAAUUAGGAGAAGGUGGGUUACAAUCUCAAUAAAGAUACAAAUGAUCUUUUAUAAUAAAAUUUCAAAGGCGGACUUGAUAGUAAUGAUUACAACACAUCAUCAUUAAUAUUAUUCUGAAAUGUGCACACAUCGCCCGUCGCUCUCUUCAUAAGAUG
rnacentral:rRNA from 1 species